AGGGUGGGUGCAAAUGACCCUCUCCCUUCCCUGCCAGUAUUGGCUCCUGGGUCAUCCUGUGCUGGGUGUCCUCGGUGGACAGGGAAGAAAACCCAGGGAAUCUCACAAGGCUCAGGCCACAUCCUGAGCUUCCUGAGCUCCAGCUCUAAACUGUGACUCCUGUGUGGGACUUUUGGGGAUGUGGACACAGAGCUGGGGUGUGGCAAUGCUGGGUGACACUCCCCCUGUUCCCCAGGAGCUCUUCCGGAAGGUGGUGCCCUCUCAGUGCCUGGGCUCCACCUGGGGCAAGAGGAACAAGCCUGGCAAUGAGCACCUGGCACCCACUCUCCAGGCCACCGUCGACCACAUCAGAAGAGUGGUCAGCCUCAUCAUCACCACCUGCCUCGGGGACCUGAGCAUGACGGUGCCGGACAGGGAGUGCAAGAUCCUGAAGAACCUCUCCUCACCCUGUACUGUCAUCUCUGCUCUGCAGAAAACCUCCACAAACCACCUGAAAAAUACACGAGGGAAGUUUCCUGGGAGAGCUCUGAAAAACUUAAGGAGCGCUAUAGCCAAGAAGAGUCCUUGAGCAGAGAACUGAUGACAAAGGAGGGGCCUUCCAUGUUUGCCUCCCGGAGAGCAACCCCCAGAGAGUGCAGGAGAAACAGCAGCAGGAGCAGCACGGUGACGUCCCCUAUCUUGGCACAUUCCUCCGUGACCUGAAGAUGCUGGGUCUGGCGAUGGGUGAUUAUCUCGAGGGGAAUGAGAUCAACCUUGAGAAAAGGACUGAGGAAUACCGAGUCAUGAGGGAGAUCCUGCUGCUCCAGGUGGCUGCAAAGAAUUAGAACCAGAGCCCGAGGAGCGAUUUGGGGCCUGGUUCCAGGACAUGGAGCUGCUCAACCAGAAUGAUAGCUACAGCCUGUCCUGCCAGCUGGAACCCCAGGCUUAGUUGGGCAACAGAAUAUUCAAGGCCAAGAAGAACCGGCCAUCAUCAAGUUCAGGGCCCCCAGGCCCCAACACCGAGCCCCAUACCAGUGGCCGAUCACAGCCCUAUCCUCAGCAGCGCAGACACAGCUGGGAGGCUUGCGAUGCACAGGGCCAGCUCCUCACACACGACGGGAAGGGGAGCAUUGUAAGCUGAUUCAUGGGGACCCCUGGAGCCCAAGAGAGAGGGGACAACCCCACCCCAGCUCCCUGACAUCUCUACCCCAGCGCCUAUUCACCCAUUGGGGAGGAACAGUAGUUAUGUGUUGUAAAUAAUAAAUGCCAUAUUUGAAUAUUAUAUUCAAGUCCUGUUCCCUUUACAGCCUGGGAGUUGUGGUGUGGUUCUGUCGCUUUCUGUAGGCAUGUGAGAGAGACACAGAAUCUCACAUUUCUCCUUGAAUCAAGAACUCUUCUGGGUCAUCAGCUUAUUGUAUGUGGGGGAAGGGAGAAGGGCCAGCCCCUUCCCUGACUAGUCGGGACACUCCCAAGUCCCCCUAACUCAGAGGACAAGUUCAUUUCAGUAUCAUUCAGCUCCUCCAGGAGCAGACACGGCCCCCCGCCCAUUCUCUUGGGAUUUAAAGGUUGAAGGUACUUUCACAGGCAGAGCAACAACCACUGAAAUGUGGGUGUGUUUAAAACAGCACUACCCAGGACUGUGUCGUGCCACAGGCAGG